CGGCGGGCGCUUCUCCCCUCAGUCAGCCACAGGGAGCCCGGAAACCGGACUGUCCGGCCCCCCAAACUGGGGCACAGGGGACAUUAACCCUUUGGUCUCCUCUGUACAAGAGGCAGCAACUGGUUCCUACAAUAUAGGAUCCGCUCAGUGGGUAUCUUCGAUAUAAGAUCCUUCUCCUGAUUGACCCAUCAAGGAUGGACACGGACAAGAUUGCGGAGAGUAUAAUAAAUCUCACCCUAGAGAUCCUCUUCCGGCUUACUGGAGAGGACUGCACAGUAGUGAAGAAGACCUCUAGUGAGCGCUGUCAGGCCCCUGUAUCUGAAGG